GCACAACGCGAAGAACCUUACCUACUCUUGACAUCUAGCGAAGAUUGCAGAGAUGCAGUUGUGCCUUCGGGAACGCUAAGACAGGUGCUGCAUGGCUGUCGUCAGCUCGUGUUGUGAAAUGUUGGGUUAAGUCCCGCAACGAGCGCAACCCUUAUCCUUAGUUGCCAGCACGUAAUGGUGGGAACUCUAGGGAGACUGCCGGUGAUAAACCGGAGGAAGGUGGGACGACGUCAAGUCAUCAUGGCCCUUACGAGUAGGGCUACACACGUGCUACAAUGGUACGUACAGAGGGAGGCAAGCUGGCGACAGUGAGCGGAUCUCUUAAAGCGUAUCGUAGUCCGGAUCGCAGUCUGCAACUCGACUGCGUGAAGUCGGAAUCGCUAGUAAUGCAAAUCAGCAUGUCACGGUGAAAUACGUUCCCCGGGUCUUGUCU
rnacentral:rRNA from 1 species